CUUUUAGUGACACACUUGAAGAAAUUUAUUGUUUCGUUGAGCAUUAUUACAGAUCAGCAUUGUCAAGAACCAAUGGUGUUCCCUGAAGAAAGAAUACAACAUGGGACACAGGACUCUCAGAAAGAUUUCUUCAUUUCAGUAAUUGGCACAUCUUUGAAGCAGCUGUCCAGUGGUUCUUGGAGCCUCACUGCUAAACCGUCAGUAAGAGACCACCGGACCUCCUUUUCUACAAUCAAGCCAAACCAGUUCCUGUUGUUGGUGCCAAGAUAGACUACAGCUGGAAAUUCCCCAAAUGACCAACAGAUCACCUGGUGCCAACUGACUGACCACCAGGAAGAGCGACUAUUGACUUUGGGCUUAAAAGUCAUCUAAUCCACACUGUUUCUCACUCCCC
rnacentral:lncRNA from 1 species